CAACAACAUCAGAAACUGAGAACUUUUGCUCUUGCGUGAUGCUGAAUCUAAACCGGUGUCAGAACAAUAUCAAUAUAAAUAUUAAUAUUACUGAGUGCACCUUUAAAAUACUCUUCAUUUAUUAAAAGGCUUGUUUAAUUUUAUUCAUAAGACAAUUUAUUACAUGUAUGUCUUUUUUCCAGGUAGAAGAUUACAUAAUGACCUUUGACCUUUUCCAUCAUGGAGGACAGAGUGACAUUUCUACUCUUGUUUCUCAAAGUGUUGAUGUUCUCUCUCAUAUACAACUUAUUUUUUACAUGCAAACUGAAUGCUCAGCUUAGACUCACAUGACAGAAGACAUUUAAAUUUGCAUUCUGACGUUACUAUUAUACUGAUUUCCAUUUAGACACUUUGCAUUGGCAGCACAUGCUUCAGUUGUCUGGGAGUUUUUAAUAGUUCAGUGAGUUUGAAGACUGAAGACUGAGAACUUCUUCAUCCAGAAUCUAAAUCCACAGCAAUCAUGACUGUCAUCACCAUCUUCAUCUGGAUGUUAUCUAGCUGCUGUUUUAGAGAAUCAAGAGGUUCAGUGACAGUCACUCAAACACCUGCAGUGAAAUCUGUUCAUCUCAGAGACACAUUUACUAUCACCUGUAAAACCAGCCCUGAAGUCUAUCAGGGUUGGGGUAAUCAGCCUCUUGCCUGGUAUCAGCAGAAACCUGGAGAAGCUCCUAAACUCCUCAUAUAUGAUGCAACAACCCUCAACACUGGAACUCCAUCUAGAUUCAGUGGCAGUGGAUCUAAUAGUGAUUUCACUCUGAACAUCAGUGGAGACCAGACUGAAGAUGCAGGACAUUAUUACUGUCAGAGUUAUCACUGGAUCAACAGUAAAGAUGUGUUCACACAGUGAUAAAGAGUCGUACAA